GACGAACCAUCCAAACGUUAUUCGGAAUUACUGGGCUUAAAGGGUGCGUAGGCUGCGCAGUAAGUUGGGUGUGAAAUCCCUCGGCUUAACCGAGGAACUGCGCCCAAAACUACUGUGCUUGAGGGAGACAGAGGUGAGCGGAACUUAGGGUGGAGCGGUGAAAUGCGUUGAUAUCCUAAGGAACACCCGUGGCGAAAGCACUCUGCUGGGCCGACACUGACACUGAGAGACGAAAGCUAGGGGAGCGAACAGG
rnacentral:rRNA from 1 species